rnacentral:rRNA from 1 species
GAUGAACGCUGGCGGCGUGCCUAAUACAUGCAAGUCGAGCGAACGGACGAGAAGCUUGCUUCUCUGAUGUUAGCGGCGGACGGGUGAGUAACACGUGGAUAACCUACCUAUAAGACUGGGAUAGCUUCGGGAAACCGUAGCUAAUACCGGAUAAUAUUUUGAACCGCAUGGUUCAAAAGUGAAAGACGGUCUUGCUGUCACUUAUAGAUGGAUCCGCGCUGCAUUAGCUAGUUGGUAAGGUAACGGCUUACCAAGGCAACGAUGCAUAGCCGACCUGAGAGGGUGAUCGGCCACACUGGAACUGAGACACGGUCCAGACUCCUACGGGAGGCAGCAGUAGGGAAUCUUCCGCAAUGGGCGAAAGCCUGACGGAGCAACGCCGCGUGAGUGAUGAAGGUCUUCGGAUCGUAAAACUCUGUUAUUAGGGAAGAACAUAUGUGUAAGUAACUGUGCACAUCUUGACGGUACCUAAUCAGAAAGCCACGGCUAACUACGUG